CUGUCGACAUUAUAGUUGUGCAGGCACUUUGGUGACUCUAGAGAACUUUGGGCCAAUUGCAUGUCCCCGUGACGGCGACUUUGCAUUUGGAUGUCUGCCCUAUCAACUUUCAAUGCCACCUUCUGCACCUACCAUGGUGACCACGGGUAACGGGGAAUCAGGGUUAGAUUCUGGAGAGGGAGUCUGAGAAACGGCUACCACAUCCAAGGAUGGCAGCAGGCGCGCAAGUUACCCACUCCCGACGCGGGAAGGUUGUGACGACAAAUAACAAUACAGGACUCUUUAGAGACCCUGUAAUUGUAAUGAGUCCACGUGAAAUCCUUUAACUAUGAUCAAUUGGAGGGCAAGUCUGGUGCAGAGCAACUGACCUGUGCGUGCUCCAG